rnacentral:rRNA from 1 species
CGUCAGCUCGUGCCGUGAGGUGUCGGGUUAAGUCCCAUAACGAGCGCAACCCUACCCUUUAGUUGCCAUCAGGUAAUGCUGGGGACGUCUAAGGAACUGCCUACGCAAGUAGUGAGGAAGGCGGGGAGUGACGUCAAAUCAGCACGGCCCUUACGUCCAGGGCUACACACGUGCUACAAUGGCCGAUACAGAGGGCAGCUACCUGGUGACAGGAUGCAAAUCUCCAAAGUCGGUCUCAGUUCGGAUCGGAGUCUGCAACCCGACUCCGUGAAGUUGGAUUCGCUAGUAAUCGCGCAUCAGCCAUGGCGCGGUGAAUACGUUCCCGGGCCUU